rnacentral:rRNA from 1 species
AUUGAACGCUGGCGGCAGGCCUUACACAUGCAAGUCGAACGAGUGGCGGACGGGUGAGUAAUGUCUGGGAAACUGCCUGUUGGAGGGGGAUAACUACUGGAAACGGUAGCUAAUACCGCAUACCAUCAGAUGUGCCCAGAUUGGAUUAGCUAGUUGGUGGGGUAACGGCUCACCAAGGCGACGAUCCCUAGCUGGUUUGAGAGGAUGACCAGCCACACUGUAACGGAGACACGGUCCAGACUCCUACGGGAGGCAGCAGUGGGGAAUAUUGCACAAUGGGGGAAAGCCUGAUGCAGCCAUGCCGCGUGUAUGAAGAAGGCCUUCGGGUUGUAAAGUACUUUCAGCAGGGAGGCGGUACCCGCAGAAGAAGCACCGGCUAACUCCGUGCCAGCAGCCGCGGUAAUUC